rnacentral:misc_RNA from 1 species
GUGAAUCAUCAAAUCUUUGAACGCAAAUUGCACUCCCCUCGGAGAGUAUGCCUGUUUGAGGGUCAGCCUAAAAAAAUCGACAUCGUUGCUGUUCCGCGGUGACGUUCGUCGGAAAUUGGGUAAUCUUAAACCUUUGGGUUUAAGGGACUUAAAAUUUUCCUUUUGUUUCCUGGAAGGUUUCUAAGUUUUAUUUCUUUAAAGUUUUAGGGUAUGGUUUUUUAUUGGGCUUG